CAGCCGUGCGUUCAGCACAAAGAGAACUAUUCCUUCGCGUUUUACUAAUGAAUACCGUGUGUAGCUUGCCGUUUACAAGCGGCAUACGUCUAUUUUUCGAAUGCACAAUUGGGGAU